CGUCACUGUCAUGGCCGCCGCGGACAGCUGGAGCUGGUUUCCAGCGUUGGCGCUGGGAGUUUCUUUGCUGAAAUGCCUCUUUAUCAACGCGUAUCAUUCCACAGACUUCGAGGUGCACAGGAACUGGUUGGCCAUCACACACAGUCUGCCGGUGUCCCGGUGGUACCAUGAGAACUCGUCGGCGUGGACUCUGGACUACCCGCCGCUGUUCGCCUGGCUGGAGCUCGGCUUGGCCCGCGCGGCGCAGCACUUUGACAGCAACAUGCUGCGGGUGGAGAACCUGAACUACGUCAGCCAGAACACGCUGCUCUUCCAGAGGCUGUCGGUGGUCUUCACAGACCUGCUGUUCAUCUACGCGGCCAGAGAGUGCUGCAGGUGCGUUCAGGAGCCAAAAGGCCCGCGGGACGUUUUGAGCCGCCCGUCCUUCGUCCUGGCGGUUCUGCUGCUCUGGAACUUCGGCCUCCUCAUCGUCGACCACAUUCAUUUCCAGUAUAACGGCUUCAUGUUCGGCUUCCUGCUUCUCUCGGUGGCGAAACACCUGCAGCACAAACACCUGCAGGGGGCGCUGCUGUUCUCCGUGCUGCUCAACCUGAAGCACAUCUACCUGUACGUGGCUCCGGCCUACGGAGUCUACCUGCUGAGGAGCUACUGCUUCACUCAGGACCACAGCGGCGGCUCCGUCAGCUGGAGGAGCUUCAGGCCGCUCCGUCUUCUCGCCCUCGGCAGCAUCGUGGCCUCCGUCUGCGCUCUGUCCUUCGGCCCCUUCAUCGCCAUGGGCCAGCUGCCUCAGGUGCUGUCCCGCCUCUUCCCCUUUAAGAGGGGCCUCUGCCACGCCUACUGGGCCCCCAACGCCUGGGCCCUCUACAACGUGCUGGACAAGAGCCUGGCGCUGCUCGGGGUUCGUCUGAAGCUGCUCGAGGAGGCGGAGCUUCCCCGAGCCUCCAUGACGGGCGGUUUGGUUCAGGAGUUUCAGCACUCGGUCCUCCCCUCCGUCACUCCCUCCGUCACCCUCGUCUGCACCCUGCUCUCCAUCCUGCCGGCGCUGGCGUCCAUCUGGCGGCGUCCUCGCGGUGCGCGGGGUUUCCUGCGCUGCCUGCUGCUCUGCGCUCUGGGCUCCUUCAUGUUCGGCUGGCACGUGCACGAGAAGGCCGUCCUCCUCGCCAUCUUGCCUCUCAGCUUCCUGGCGGUCGAGAGCAGAGAGGAUGCUGGGAUAUUUCUGGUUCUCACCACCACAGGUCAUUACUCGCUGUUCCCGCUGCUCUUCACCCCCGCAGAGCUGCCCAUCAAAGUGUUUCUGAUGCUGAUGUUUACGAUCUACUCUUUCACCGCUCUGAGGAAACUUCACAGCGGCCCCGUGCUCCGUCCUCUGGAGUCCGCCUACCUGCUGGGUCUCGGCGUCGUGGCGCUCGCCUGUGAGGCGGCCUUCCCGCUGUCGCCGUGGCGACACAAGCUGCCCUUCCUGCCCCUGCUGGCGACCUCGGUGUACUGCUCCGUGGGCGUCUGCUACUCCUUCCUGCGCCUGUAUGCCAGUCUGCUGCGGCAGGAGGAGAAGCACAAACAGCUGUGAGAGGUCUCAGGUCAGAUUCCCUACCCAAAAAACACAACUACAUCCUGCACAUGUGCCCCUGAGCAAGGCACUCGGACGCUGAUCAAUCAGGAGGAAGUGAUCUGUGUUCUUCUUCUUCUUCUUGUGGAUUAUGGACCACAUGACGACAACACGACGACAACAUCCUCAACAACUUAUUGAUCCUCAACCGGAUCGAUAAGUCACCACCAGCUGGAGGUUUUGAGUUUAUGGGCGUGACAGAAGAACGAAUGAUGAAGGGUGACGACAGACGUUCAGAGCUUCAAUGGAAAACCUUCAAAACGUUCUGCACGGCAUCAAUGCAGAAGCAAUGCAUGCUGGGAUAGGUUCCAGCCUCCCACGACCCUGUAUGGAUGGUACCGGUCGGGAAUGACGCAUCAAUUCAGCUGCAAUAGUUUUAUUUAUUUCAAACUCUUUUCAUCUCAAAGUCAGACUUUCAACGUGGUUUUUUUCAUACUAACUUUUACAUCUCGGUCGUUGGAAAAUUUGCCUCGAAAAACAGAUUUAAGUCAAACGAUGAAGUAAUCUAUUAUAAAUGAGGCCAGAAUCCAACUCGGCUAACUGUAGUUUCUCUGAAGGUGAAGAUCUACUUCCUGGUUUGAUGAAAUCAAACGCCAUGUGGACUGAAACGGAACUGAAAGACGGGAAUUAUGUUUUGUUUUUUCUAUAUUUUCAAAUAAAUGAAAUAAAGAUGAAUUUGUAUAUGUAAUGAUUCACCUUUCAAAAGAAAAAGUCCAACUGGAUUCAAACAAACUCAUAUUCACAAUAAUAAGUCAUUCCCAUUAGCACGUGAAUAAAAACAUCAAUAAUAGCGUUUUGUUUAAAAACUUUAUUGAUAAGGCAACACAAAACACGAUUGGUUGAAAUUAAUUUAACAGAGUUUUACACGUUUCUAUUGCACAAUAAGGAGUGUUAGCGCUGAUGCUAACUGUUAGCGCUGAUGCUAACUGUUAGCGCCGAUGCUAACCUGCAGGACCGAUCUGACUACGACUACCCGUUAGCAGCUUUGUGGGCAGAAUGGCCUCCGCCAUCGAACCAGUUUCCUCUUCACAAACAUUCCACCUCUGUUCUCUUGAUCUUGUCUCGUAUAAAAGUAAAAAUCAUUCAGUGGAUUCCUUUUUAACGUCAAAAUAACAGACAAGUCGCACUAAACGAACAAACUAAAGCUGUAAAACUAAGUUCAUCCAUUCAAACAUUGAAGCAGUUUAAAACGUUGACAGAGACUCGAAAUGAACGACAGUUUGAAGAUUUUACACAAGUCCUGCAUUCAAAAGUAAAAGUAAAAGUAAGUUAAAUAUUACAAUCUAAAUGUACUUAAAGUACUCGUUCUGUCCUGUGAGAACCUCGUAUCUCUAAAAAGAAGAAACUGAUCCACACAUCUGGAGAUACUUUUCACUGGACAGGAAGUGGUCAUCUGAAGAGAAACCAAAGAACUGCAAAUAACGAUUAUUUUCAUUGUUGAUUGUUUAUUUAUUUAUUAAUCGAUUAAGAAGUAUUGUCUUUAAAAUAUCAGAACCUUGUGAAAAAAGGUUCUGAUUUUUAAAAUAUUGUCAAUUUAAAUGUAAUAAUUAUCGACUAAUCAAUAAAUUGCACAGCUUGUCAGACAAA